rnacentral:rRNA from 1 species
GAUGAACGCUGGCGGCGUGCCUAAUACAUGCAAGUCGAGCGAACAGACGAGGAGCUUGCUCCUCUGACGUUAGCGGCGGACGGGUGAGUAACACGUGGAUAACCUACCUAUAAGACUGGGAUAACUUCGGGAAACCGGAGCUAAUACCGGAUAAUAUAUUGAACCGCAUGGUUCAAUAGUGAAAGACGGUUUUGCUGUCACUUAUAGAUGGAUCCGCGCCGCAUUAGCUAGUUGGUAAGGUAACGGCUUACCAAGGCGACGAUGCGUAGCCGACCUGAGAGGGUGAACGGCCCGACGGGAACUGAGAAACGGACCAGACUGCGAAGGGAGGCAGCAGCAGGGAAUCUUGAGCAAGGGGCGAAUGCCUGAAGGAGGAACGACGAGUGUGUGAUGAAGGUAUUCGGAUCGAAAAACUCUGUUAUUAGGGAAGAACAAACGUGUAAGUACAUAUGCACGUAUUGACGGUACCUAAUCAGAGAGCCACAGCUAACUACGUA